GACGAACGCUGGCGGCGUGCUUAACACAUGCAAGUCGAACGGUGAAAGUGGAGCUUGCUCCGCUGGAUCAGUGGCGAACGGGUGAGUAACACGUGGGCAACCUGCCCCAGACUUCGGGAUAACUCCUCGAAAGAGGUGCUAAUACCGGAUACGAAGCCCCCAGGCAUCUGGGGGCUUGGAAAGCUUUGCGGUCUGGGAUGGGCCCGCGGCCUAUCCGCUUGUUGGUGAGGUAACGGCUCACCAAGGCGACGACGGGUAGCCGGCCUGAGAGGGCGACCGGCCACACUGGGACUGAGACACGGCCCAGACUCCUACGGGAGGCAGCAGUGGGGAAUAUUGCGCAAUGGGCGAAAGCCUGACGCAGCAACGCCGCGUGAGGGAUGACGGCCUUCGGGUUGUAAACCUCUUUCAGCACCGACGAAGCGCAAGUGACGGUAGGUGCAGAAGAAGGACCGGCCAACUACGUGCCAGCCGCCGCGGUAA
rnacentral:rRNA from 1 species